AUCAUCGUCUUCAGUCGGGCAAGAGUGAAAUUGAGCAACAGAAGCGGUUGAAUGUACGUUUGCAGGCUGACCGCUUGAGGCUAGUCACAGAGCAAAAGCACGCAGAGGCACGAG
rnacentral:SRP_RNA from 11 species